rnacentral:lncRNA from 1 species
AGGCGAUUCACGAGUAGUGCUUGGGAGAACUGAGAGAGCCACUAGAGAAGUGAUUGCCAUUCAAUUGUCCACAGAACACAACGCAAGCAUAGAGUCUGUGAGAGAUGAACUUCGGAUGGUUCAUCCAGAAGAUCCCCAGAUUGUGAUCCUAAAACACAAUGUUUGGCGUGUUAAAGGUCUCAUACAGGUAAAUGCUCUGGAAACUUUUUUGAAAUCUGAGGUGUAGAUGUUAAUUGUUAAGUGAAGCAAUCUAGAAAGCCUCUAGAGUUCUGAAUCUUCAAUAGCUUACCUUCUGCAGGUUUCAAGAUCCAUUGGUGAUGCAUAUUUGAAAAAAGCAAAGUUCAACAGACCACCUCUCCCCCCUAAAUUUCAACUGCCCGAGCCAUUUUACAAACCGAUUCUCAGUGCAGAACCGUCAAUAUUAGUACACAAACUCCG